rnacentral:lncRNA from 1 species
CCGAAUUUGUUUUAAUCACCCAGGCCGCAUCCGGAGUCCAAAUCAAGCAAACAAGUACUUGUUGGAAAGAUAAUUACAAGACCUUUCCAACGGAUCUGGCCCCAUCAAGAGAUUCGACUCGUGCUGCCCGUGGCGGACAAACAAGCUGACGGAUCUGUUUUUCUGUUUCCUAAAGAGUUGUAGUUUGUUAGAAAAGUUAGAGAUAGAGUUGGAUUUCGGACUCCUUAUUUAAGGUGGAUGAAAAUAUCUCUCCCUCCUCCUUUAUAUAUACCCCAUGAGCCCCCCUAAGGAGCCUUGGGUUUUUAUUAGAUAAAGUUUAGCCAUCUUUGCUACUUUCGUGUAAUCGCGUGUGUCGGUUAGACCACCUGUUUUACCGCUUUCGGAACCCCAACUUAUCGUCUCGUUGAGACAUUGGUUUGAUAUAGUAUAUUCGC